UGCAGUCGAGCGAACAGACGAGGAGCUUGCUCCUUUGACGUUAGCGGCGGACGGGUGAGUAACACGUAGGUAACCUACCUAUAAGACUGGGAUAACUUCGGGAAACCGGAGCUAAUACCGGAUAAUAUUUCGAACCGCAUGGUUCGAUAGUGAAAGAUGGCUUUGCUAUCACUUAUAGAUGGACCUGCGCCGUAUUAGCUAGUUGGUAAGGUAACGGCUUACCAAGGCAACGAUACGUAGCCGACCUGAGAGGGUGAUCGGCCACACUGGAACUGAGACACGGUCCAGACUCCUACGGGAGGCAGCAGUAGGGAAUCUUCCGCAAUGGGCGAAAGCCUGACGGAGCAACGCCGCGUGAGUGAUGAAGGUCUUCGGAUCGUAAAACUCUGUUAUUAGGGAAGAACAAACGUGUAAGUAACUGUGCACGUCUUGACGGUACCUAAUCAGAAAGCCACGGCUAACUACGUGCCAGCAGCCGCGGUAAUACGUAGGUGGCAAGCGUUAUCCGGAAUUAUUGGGCGUAAAGCGCGCGUAGGCGGUUUUUUAAGUCUGAUGUGAAAGCCCACGGCUCAACCGUGGAGGGUCAUUGGAAACUGGAAAACUUGAGUGCAGAAGAGGAAAGUGGAAUUCCAUGUGUAGCGGUGAAAUGCGCAGAGAUAUGGAGGAACACCAGUGGCGAAGGCGACUUUCUGGUCUGUAACUGACGCUGAUGUGCGAAAGCGUGGGGAUCAAACAGGAUUAGAUACCCCUGGUAGUCCACGCCGU
rnacentral:rRNA from 1 species